rnacentral:rRNA from 1 species
GAUGAACGCUGGCGGCGUGCUUAACACAUGCAAGUCGAACGAAGCAUUUAAGACAGAUUACUUCGGUUUGAAGUCUUUUAUGACUGAGUGGCGGACGGGUGAGUAACGCGUGGGUAACCUGCCUCAUACAGGGGGAUAGCAGCUGGAAACGGCUGGUAAUACCGCAUAAGCGCACAGUACCACAUGGUACAGUGUGAAAAACUCCGGUGGUAUGAGAUGGACCCGCGUCUGAUUAGCUUGUUGGCGGGGUAACGGCCCACCAAGGCGACGAUCAGUAGCCGACCUGGGAGGGUGACCGGCCACAUUGGGACUGGGACACGGCCCAGACUCCUACGGGAGGCAGCAGUGGGGAAUAUUGCACAAUGGAGGAAACUCUGAUGCAGCGACGCCGCGUGAGUGAAGAAGUAGUUCGCUAUGUAAAGCUCUAUCAGCAGGGAAGAUAGUGACGGUACCUGACUAAGAAGCUCCGGCUAAAUACGU